AUUAUUGCUUUAUGUGUAUUUGUGUUUAUUAAUAGUAUAUUUCAUUAUUUUUUAACAGAAGAACACAUUCUAAUACAUGAGAGUAGAAACACCAAAUAUAAUCAGUUGAAUGUUAAUCAGAAGAGAACUUACAUUCAGAAGGUCAUUGAUAAUAAUAUAAAAAGGAAAAGAAAUGAUUUUGCUGGCAGUAGUACCAAUAGCAAGUUACAGUGGGAAAUGCAGAACUUAACCCAGAAGUUCGUUGGAAUGAUGAAAUCAGAAAAUAUAUCCCAAUGGCAGGGUGGCACUAUUAUCGUAUCUCAGAUUGAGAAUGAAUUUAGGCAUCUAGAACGGGAUCAGGGGGCUCCAGCAAAAUCUUAUGCAUGUUGGGCAGUGAAAAUGAAACUCGACCUUGACACUGGGAUUCAAUGGAUCAUGUGCAAAGAAGAUGUGACGCCCCUGGGUUCACACAAGGCUGCAGUCCAAGUUCCUCCAGGCGAUGAAGGUUGGUUAUGCCCAGCCUGUUGUUGCAAGAUAGACUGCAUUAAAUUAUUAAACGAGCUUCAAGGAAGUAAUUUAUCUAUUAAGGAUACAUGGGAGAUAUGCUAUAUAGGUUUGCUAUUGCUCACAGAUCGGUGUAAGAUUCUUGCUGAUGCUCAUUUUGAUUUUUCAUCAUCAUUUCUGAUGCAAAUUAAUUCUUGGACAAACCUUAAAAGAAAACAAUACAAGUGUCAUUGGUUAGGUUAUUACUUUUAGGAUAAGCAUUAACCUUGCAUGGUAAUUGCUUGAAUUCUAAGCAACUUUUCAUUAGUUUAAUUAGGAAGAUAUGGUUAUUUUUUAGCCAAAUUCACAACCUUUUGUUUUCUUUUGUAUAAAUUUCAGGUUUACAGGGUUUGGAGGUCCAGUUCAUUAUCAACACGUUGAAGAUGUGGCCUUUCCUAUUGUACAGUUUAUAUAGAAAGGUGGAUCUUAUUUCAACUACUAUAUGGGAGAAAAAGUACAUUGAAGUAAUGAAGCAUAAAUAGUAAUGAAGCAUAUGGAUUCCUGUCAGUAAAUAGUAAUGAAGCAUAUGGACGGUUAGAUCGUGAGAUUUCUUUGGGUGUACCUGAUGAAAAAACCACUGCUAGAGAUCCUGUCAGUUCUUACUCGAAAAUGUAAAUGUGUGUUUUGGAGAGAGUGGAGUCAAUGAGAUAUAGUUUUAUAUAAUAAUUAGUCCUUUUGAACUUUGAAGUGUUUCAUAAAAUUUCAAAAUGAGUAUUGCAUGAUUGCAAGGUUAGGUGAUCAAUGGAUUCCUAUCAUUCAAUU